CUACGGGGGGCUGCAGUGGGGAAUAUUGCACAAUGGGGGAAACCCUGAUGCAGCAACGCCGCGUGGAGGAUGACACAUUUCGGUGCGUAAACUCCUUUUAUAGGUCAAGAUAAUGACGGUAGCCUAUGAAUAAGCGCCGGCUAACUCCGUGCCAGCAGCCGCGGUAAUACGGAGGGCGCAAGCGUUACUCGGAAUCACUGGGCGUAAAGAGCAUGUAGGCGGGUUAAUAAGUCAGAAGUGAAAUCCAAUAGCUCAACUAUUGAACUGCUUUUGAAACUGUUAACCUAGAGUGUGGGAGAGGUAGAUGGAAUUUCUGGUGUAGGGGUAAUAUCCGUAGAGAUCAGAAGGAAUACCGAUUGCGAAGGCGAUCUACUGGAACAUUACUGACGCUGAGAUGCGAAAGCGUGGGGAGCAAACAGGAUUAGAUACCCUAGUAGUC
rnacentral:rRNA from 1 species